rnacentral:misc_RNA from 1 species
GAUGAAGAACGCAGCGAAAUGCGAUACGUAAUGUGAAUUGCAGAAUUCAGUGAAUCAUCGAGUCUUUGAACGCACAUUGCGCCCGCCAGUAUUCUGGCGGGCAUGCCUGUCCGAGCGUCAUUUCAACCCUCAAGCCCCCGGGCUUGGUGUUGGAGAUCGGCGAGCCCCCCGGGGCGCGCCGUCUCCCAAAUAUAGUGGCGGUCCCGCUGUAGCUUCCUCUGCGUAGUAGCACACCUCGCACUGGGAAACAGCGUGGCCACGCCGUAAAACCCCCCACUUCUGAAAGGUUGACCUCGGAUCAGGUAGGAAUACCCGCUGAACUUAAGCAUAUCAAUAAGCGGAGGA